GAUGAACGCUAGCUACAGGCUUAACACAUGCAAGUCGAGGGACCGGCGCACGGGUGAGUAACACGUAUCCAACCUGCCCUUUACUCGGGGAUAGCCUUUCGAAGGAAAGAUUAAUACCCGAUAUAAAGGAUGGGGAUGCGUUCCAUUAGGUUGUUGGUGAGGUAACGGCUCACCAAGCCUUCGAUGGAUAGGGGUUCUGAGAGGAAGGCCCACUACAGUGGAACUGAGACACAGUCUAAAAUCCUACGGGAGGCAGCAGUGUGGAAGAUUGGUCAAUCGGCGCUAGCCUGAACCAGCCAAGUAGCUUGAAGGAUGAAGGCUUAGGGGACUUAAACUUCUUGUAUAUAAGAAUAGGUAUUAUAUGAAUAAGGACCGGCUAACUCCGUGCCAGCAGCCGCGGUAAUAC
rnacentral:rRNA from 1 species